GCCAAGGGCAGUGGUGUGCACCUGUAGUCCCAGCUACUCAGGAGGCUGAGGCAGGAGGAUCACUUGAGCUCAGGAGCUCUGAGCUGUAGUGCACUGUGCCAACUGGGUGUCUGCACUAAGUUUGGCAUCAAUAUGGUGACCUCCCAGCAGUCGGGGACUACCAGGUUGCCUGAGGGAGGUGUGAACCUACCCAGGUCAGAACUGGAGCAGAUCAAGACUCCCAUGCUGAUCAGUAGUGGAAUCUCACCUGCGAAUAGCCACUGCACUCCAGCCUGACCAACAUAGACCCCAUCUCAA
rfam:Nomascus leucogenys chromosome 14, whole genome shotgun sequence.